rnacentral:rRNA from 1 species
GUCUUGCUACAUGGGCUCAUCGGAAGAUACCUAGGCACACAGAGGCGAUUAAAGACGUGUUUACCUGCAAUGAGUCAUCGUGGAGCUGGAAAAACGCUUUGAUCCGGGCACUUACAGAUGAUGCAGACCUAGUACGUGCAGCUGAAUCUAUAGAUGCGCGAGCGAUCCGAGCGAGUGAAUUAUCAUAGU